UACAGGGGGGGGCAAGCGUUUGUUCGGAAUUACUGGGCGUAAAGGGCUUGUAGGUGGCCAACUAAGUCCGACGUGAAAUCCCUAGGCUUAACCUAGGAACUGCGUCGGAUACUGGAUGGCUUGAAUCCGGGAGAGGGAUGCGGAAUUCCAGGUGUAGCGGUGAAAUGCGUAGAUAUCUGGAGGAACACCGGUGGCGAAGGCGGCGAUCCUGGACCGGUAUUGACACUGAAAAGCGAAAGCCAGGGGAGACAAACGGG
rnacentral:rRNA from 1 species